rnacentral:misc_RNA from 1 species
UCCGGUUUAUCACCGGCAGUCACCUUAGAGUGCCCAACUAAAUGCUGGCAACUAAGAUCAAGGGUUGCGCUCGUUGCGGGACUUAGCCCAACAUCUCACGACACGAGCUGACGACAACCAUGCACCACCUGUCACUUUGUCCCCCGAAGGGGAAAGCCCUAUCUCUAGGGUUGUCAAAGGAUGUCAAGACCUGGUAAGGUUCUUUGCGUUGCUUCGAAUUAAACCACAUGCUCCACUGCUUGUGCGGGCCCCCGUCAAUUCCUUUGAGUUUUAGCCUUGCGGCCGUACUCCCCAGGCGGGGCACUUAAUGCGUUAGCUGCGGCACGGACCACGUGGAAUGUGGCCCACACCUAGUGCCCAUCGUUUACGGCUAGGACUAC